CAUCGAUCUGCUCCACCUCUUGUGAUUGCCCAAGAGUGGAUGAGAAUAAAAGAUAGCACCAAAAAUAUCAGUGAGAUUAUUUCUGUCAAAACUAUCAGUGUACCGUUUCCUUUCCAGCGUGAACUUUGUCCAAUCAGAGAAGAGAUGGAGGAUGAAUCCGUACAGGUCCGUGAAAAUAGCACCAAUUAGCAGUAAGUGAUGAUGAUGUCAACCAAUGGGUAUGCUGGAAUAUCAAUGAAGAUUGAGAAGAGCACUAAUGCUGUAACAGAGGAUAAGAAGCUAAAGCAGCGCGCCGAGAUUCCGAAUACAGAAUAAAUAAUUUUUGCCUUGGUGUAGAGCAAAUCGUACAUGAACCCCAAUUCAAAUGCUACUAAAUUGAAGCAAUCUUUCUCUGCAAUUCUUUCGAAGAUUUGGCGGCUUGCCCGUUCUUUUUGCUCGUCCAAAAUUUGGCUGGAAAAUAGACGUGCACAAUUUUGAAGUACGUAGCAAACAACAUCAAAAGGAUUUGGGAGACCAGGACGAUUCGGAGAGUUAGAUGGUACGGCAAAAAAAUUCAGGAUAUCUAUGGUCCUGAAUAGGAGGGAAAAGAUCUUUCAGGGAGAAUUUUUUGAAAUUCGCUUUGCUUGAAGAAUAAAGUACGAUAGCCCUCUCUGCGUACUUAAUAGUUCCAGCAACCAAACUUGGAGUGGCAGUAAAUGUAAGCAUAUCGGUUCUCCAGAAUCGUAGAUACACAAUAAUGGCCCCAAGACCUUGAGUAAUAAGCGAAGGAAAUUGUUUCAGCCAGAGCUCAUUGUCUUCUAAAGCGUAACGUCACAGGACGAGAGGUUUUGAGCCCGUGCGGCACUCCGCAUCCCAUACUACGAGAGUAAGUGGCACAAUAUCGCUGAUUUCCUACUGCCUUGGGCUCAUCAGGAGAACGGCUCUUGUUCUCAACUAGUGUGUUUAGGGUUUCGCCUAGACCCCUCUUCAAUAUUAAGUCCUUGACUAGCGACAAGCUCCCCAAACUCAACCGGGUUGGCUUGAACUCCAAGGACUAUAGGACCAUUGUGUUCCCCACACGCUCGCCCCUGAAGCACGUCUCCAAUAAUCAGCACAAUCAUUAUCAAUACUAGCAUUCAAGCACAUAUCUUAGGUGUCACAAUUGGGGCCCGUGACAGUAAGCUGUGAUAGUAUCCGGGCCACCGAGGUGAAAAUUCAAAUAUGUACACAAAUAUGUAUGUUAACACUUAUAGGGUUGAGGACCAAAAUUCAACAAUUAGACCAUCUAUUACGAAGCUAAGGCACUAGGAUUACCCUAUGAAAGGUCAGUAUUAACCUUGACCAAACCAAUCUCAGGCGGACGCCAGUUUAAAACCAGAACUCUUGGAGCUCUCGCUAAAGAAAAAGGUAACCCCAAAGCAGUCAAAAUAUCCUGAUCAUUAACCCUUCACCAAGGACCGAACCAAAGCAAUCAAAAUAUCUUAGACGAAAACGACUAUGUUUAUUAAUUCUUACAAACAUAUUUAAUCUUUAUCCUUAUCUAUUUGUAAAAACUCCUCUGACGCCCCAUUUUUGUCAAUUCUAUCCUAAUAUCCAAGUUUUGAGACACUGAAUUCCUCAAAAUUCGAGUCAUAUAUAUGAACCAUAAUUUCAUCAAAAACUCUAUUGAUAACAAUAAAGGGAAAUUAAACGAUGUUGUUCAUUUAAAUAAUUUCCCCCGGGUCUUCUUCUUAAGUAAUCCCAAACGAAAUACACAACAAAAAAUCCAAACCUUAGGAAAUAAAACAUAUCCAAUUACUUCUUCCCGCGGACAAAAACAAUAUAUAAUCUCACAGAAAAAAUGGGGCAUUAGCGUAAAGAUAUUGUGAACUCAAGCCAAGAUGAGCCAUAAGAAGGCGAACGUGAGUUAGCAGCUCCCCACCUUUUCCAAGGUGCUGACUAUGCUCAUUCCAUGUACUGUGAGAUGCUGCAUAUGCCAAAAUCUCAACCCAUACUUCACUUAUCAUUUCCCACUUUUUAUCGCAAUUCCAAUCUUCCUUUAAUUCCAGCGACUGCAAUUGCUGGCCAAGCCAACGUCCAGGCAUUGUCGCUGAUGGAACAUACUGUGACUCUUCUUGCAACUCUUCAGCUGUCAUCUGUAGUGGAGAAAAACACCGCCAAACUUCACUAAGACUUCUCUGCUGAUUAUAGUAAUGAUGGAUGAUGUCGCGACAGGUAUGCUUGUAUAUUGUCUCCAUUAAAUUCGUCUCUUCGGGCAUCAGAGAUGGGCACACUACUAGAAGAUACAGCAUGUAAUCCGACAAGCAUUUGCUAAUUUUGCAACACCGGUGGAGCGUAUCAGGAUUUCCAUUGCAAUGUUUGUGGAGAUCUUCACGGUAACAGAGUUCCGUUGCAAUAUGCCAAGCAAGAAGGCUAUAGCCAUACGGUUUUUAAGCUGUAAAUGUAAUUAACCAUGACGUAUUAGACCUUUCUUCAAGCACAUAAUCACCUCUCCCAGCCAUUAUCCUUUGACCCUCAGCAGUCGAACACAAUGGUUCAUAAGUUUGUUUAUCAACCUUAUCUACUUUCUCUUUGAGCUCUCUGUAGAUCAGAUCCUCUAAAUCAUCACUGACAUCUGCCCAAGUCACGUACCAUUGAUUCUCUAAAUUUUCCUUGAUGGAAAGUAACUUGCCAACUGCGGCAGAAGCUGCCGUUAUCUCAUCUUUGAUGCAGUAGCUUAUUAAGUUAAGCUGUCCCAUCGAUCUGCACCACCUCCACAAAUCCUUAGGUUGGGAGUUGGAACCCACCAAUAAUCCCAUUAAACGGUCCGCCUAACUUACGAUUGAAUGUAAGUUAUUGUGAAAUGUCAUCUAGCUCUCUAUACUCUAUAUUAUUUAUAUUUUAUUUAUGAAUAUUAUAAAUUUUUUGAAAUAUAAAAUUUCGUUUAACCCCUUAUACUCAAUUUUAUUUUAUUGAAACCAUAGAGUAUGAAUUCGCCCCCAUAAUUUUAAAUUCUCAAAAUAACCUUUAUUUAAUUAAAAAAUAUAAUUAUUUUUAAAUGAAUUAUAAUUAUAAUUAUAAUUAUAAUUAUAAUUUUAUUAUAAUCAUAAAUAUUUUUUUAAAUAGAUUAUUGUUAUUAUUAAUAACAAAAAUAAAAAGUAUUAUAAAUUGUUAAUAAUAAUAAUAAUAAUAAUUAAUGAUUAUCUAACUAAUAGUAAAUGUAUUGCUAAUGUUACCUUCGACUUUAAAUACUCAUUAUCGGGUUUCAAGAGACCAAUGAAUGACAAUUUCUGUCAAAAUUUUAAGCUUGACCCAAUAAAAAUAGUUUUGCAUUUAAAAAAUAGAAGCAAUAAAAAUGUGUUUACAUCCUCGAAGUUGUAACAACUUAACAAAAAGCACUUAAAAAUGACCGUUUAAUAAUGAGAUGCCUAUGAAACCAUUAUUUAUCAAAGUAACAAAAAAUCCUGAAAGUACUUGAAAUUAAAAAGUAUAGAAAUACUCCUACAUAAAUAUAGACUCAGUGUUUAUUCUAUUUUAUUAUAAUCAUAAAUAUGUUAAUUAUCAUUUAUUAUUAUUAUUGUUACUAACAAUUUAAUAAAAAAUAUUAUUAAUUAUUGUUAAUAGAUUAAUUAAUUAUAAUAUUUUUUAUUAUCGUUAUUAAUAAUAACAAUAAUCUAUUAAAAAAUAUUUAUGAUUAUAAUAAAAUUAUAAUUCAUUUAACAAUAAUUAUAUUUUUUUAUUAAAUAGAGGUUAUUUUGAGAAUUUAAAAUUAUGGGGGCGAAUUCAUACUCUAUGGUUUUAAUAAAAUAAAAUUGAGUAGAAGGGGUUAACAAAAUUUUACAUUUCAAAAAGUUUAUAAUAUUUAUGAAUAAAAUAUAAAUAAUAUAAAGCGUAGGAGGCUAGAUGACAUUUCACAGGCUGACCGUAACUUACAUUGCACGUAAGUUAGGCGGACCCUAAUUUAAAAACAAUUAUUUGUGUUCCCCCUGCUGUCAUCGAGGAAACAGUUAAAAAAGAAAGAAAAAGAAAUUGAAGAAAUGAAAAAAGAUCAAACUUUAUGGAAGGAUAAAAAAAGUCAGCAAGCUUGAAAGAAAAGGAGAAAUUUAAGCAAUCACUCGCAUAGGAAGGCAAAAUAUUAUAAUACAAGAUUGAAGAGCUGAAGAAACUGCUCUUUUAAUUUUUUAGCUUUUGAAAUGUAUAAUUGUAACCGAAAUGAUUUCAAUCUUAAAUCGAUGACUGGACACGCUAUUAAUGUGCGGUUGCGUGGUCGAAGCCACCGUUCCUGCGGCCCCCACCCUCAUUUGAGUAUCGCCUGGAUAUUUCAAGCCAUAAGAUGUCGGUUUGUUUCUAUAUAUAUGUCAGUUAGCCACGUCAGCGACCCCAAACAGCCUUUGCCCCCAAAAGUACAAAAUUGUUUGUGUUCCUAAACAUUUUGGCGUUAUUACGUACGCACCCUUCAAGUUUACAAAGGUUGCAAACACACCCUUAUUAACAAAUUUUGAAACAUAUUCAACAAACCCUAAUAACCUUCGUCUGCUGAUUUUAGUGGCGUGCUGUGAUUUUCUUCCUUCAGCUAAUAAAUUUAGGAUAAAUAAUGGCUCUAGCCUGUCUAGCAUAAUCAUUUUGUAGCCACUAUUAAAAGUUGAAACGAAGAUACAAGUUUUUUUUUUUUUUUUGAAACUAAAACGGACCUACAAGUUUUGAUUAGGGAAAAAACUCUUUUCAUCUCUAAGAUUUGAUAUAAUAACCCAUUUCAUCCUUACUUUUCAAAUAAUAACUUGUUUCAUCUUUAUUUUUCAAACAAUAGAUCAAAAUAACCUUCCAUAAAUUUACAAUUAGUUUACUCUAUAAUUUAUUGAGGACAAAAUAGGAUUUUCAGUUGAAUAAAUGCAAAGCUUUUUAAAAUAAAAAUUUGAAGAAUAAUUAAAUAAUAUCUGACUUUUUGUAUAAAUUUAAAAUUUAAGGAUAACUUAAUGAAACAAAAAUAAUACUAAAGAAUUUGCAACAUGUGUGUGUGUUUAUUAAUUUUUUUUAAUGAAGUCAACUAAAUAAUAAUAAUAAUAAUAAUUCUUUUCAUUCAGGAAUUAUUGUAAAUAGCAAGAUCAAGAAUAAGCUAAAAGAUUAAAAAAAUACAAUCCAAUACAGUGUAUUUUAUUCGGUACUAUUUUUAAAUAUAUGUUGUUAUGUAUUUAGUGCAUAUUUUCUAAGUAAAUGAAAGAGUUUGUAAUUACUUUUGAUAUAAUAACAUCACUAAUUGAUUAUUUAUUUAUUUAUCUCGACCAUAUUAAAGUUAAGGAUAAGUUAAAUGAUAAAAAAAAUUACUCUAGUGCCUGUGAAAUCCUUUUUUUUUUGUCCUAAAUAUAUAUUUUACAUAUUAUUUAAUAUUAUUAUUGUUUAUUUAUUAAGUUAUCCUUAAAUUUAGAUGUUUUUUAUUUGUAUUAGAAAGUUUAUUUUAAAAUAAUUCAUCAUUAUUUAGAAAUCAUAUUUUACCCUCAAUGAAUUAUAUAGUAUAAUAACAGUAAAUUAAUGAAAUUGUAUUUUAGGUUAUUGUUUAAAAAAUAAAAAUAAAAUAAAUUAUUAUUUAAAUAAUAAAAAUAAAAUAAGUUAUUACAUCAAAUUUUAAAAAUGAAAAUAACAUAGUCCCUUUUGAUUACUAUUAGAAUCCAAAAGCCACUUGUCUUUUCAUAAAUUAAAUUUAACUAUUAAUGAGUUUUGUCCACAAAUGUAUUAUUUUCCCCAUCUCAAGUCGAAGCUCGACCAGGACCACUCACGUUGCUGUCACGUUAACAAGCAAACCAUGUGCCUACAUUGUUCAUUCUACCCCACAUUGCUUUAAUGCUUUUCUUCUACCGUUUAAUAUUUCCUUUUCUAAUCGAAAGAUGAUUGUUUCGAAUGGUUUCCUUUUCUUUCCUUCAUUUUUCUUACUUAUUUAAUGUACUCAUUUUGACCUAGGAUGGUUUGUUUUUCAAAAAUUGAAUAUUUUCUGUGUAGUUUAGGUCCAUUUUUGAAAGGGUAUCUUUUCUUUCCCCUUCUUUAUACUCGAGUCCUUAUUAUUUGGGCAAAGACUAGUCACCUUAAAAAUGCAUUUUGUUGCCGAUUAUUUGUUAUUCAUUUUUUUAAAAGCUGUAGUCUCUAAAUUUCUUUCUACAAAUUGUAACUACUCACCUGAAAAGUACCCCUUUGCAAAAACAUAAAUAAAAUUCUAUGACUACGACUUUAGCACACUACUUAUAUCUUAAACAGAAGGACAUCACUAUAAUAAUAAAAAAGGGCAGGAUGAGAUAGUCAAAGAAGGAUUAUAAAAAGGGCAGGAUGAGAAAGUGAAAGUAGGUUAGGAAUGGGAAAUGGAAAUCAUUUUUAUAGUAUGUUUUCUAACUUAAAUUAGAAUGUGAUUGAAUAAAAAAUUAAGUUGGUUAACAGAAACCUCUUAUUAACGGUUUGUUUAGUAUUUUUCGGUGGUUUAAAGUGAUUUUAAAAAGGUAAAGUUAAUUUUAGUAUUUGGUAAAUUUUUUAAAAAAUCACCCAUCCUACAAUAAAUUUUGAAAAUAUGGAAAGAUUAGUUUUUUAAAAUCCAAUUUUUAAAAUUAAUUUUAUAUUUAUUAUAACUCCAUAUAUAUUCUCAUAUAUGUUAUAUAUCUAUAUUAAUUAAGAACUAAAAUCAUAACUUCAAAGAUAUUUUUUUUAUUGUCAAUUAUAUCUUGAUAACAAAAUAAAAAAUAAAAUUAAUAAUAAAAAAUAUUUAUUUUAGUUUUUUUAUUCAACAUUAUAUUCAAUUCGGUUAUUUAUAUUCUUAUAGUAAUUUAAUAGUAAAAUUUACUAAAUAUAAACAAUUAGUUUUAAAACUAACAAUACUUUUAAAAUAAAUUUUACUUAAUGAUACAACAAUUAUUUUAAAAGAUACGACAUUACUAAACUCGCCUUUAAUAAUUAAAAAAUCAUUGUAGUAUCAAUAAACACAUAAUGUAUUACCCAAAAUGUAAAUGAUUAUGUUGGGAUACUUAACAUAAGAUUUUUAGAUAUCCAACCGAAAAGACUAGCAUUUUAGGUGGAGUGAACUACCACCUUAUAAACCCAAACAUCUCCCAUUUACUAGCCAAUGUGGCACACAACUCAACUGAUCAAAUCAAUGUACUAAGAGACACUAGAAGAAACUAAACGACAUGAUCAUGGAUGAUCACCAUUCAUGAUUAUUGAUUUACAUGAUUGAGCACGGUGGAUUUUCUUCACAGGUGCAAUCUGAACUGCGACCUCUGCAAUAAACUCUAUUAUCGCAGCUACCACCCCAACUCUCAUACACUAGCCUUGCAUAGAACUAGUCAUAAUGCCUUUCUUGCCCAAAGCCAAGCUGGUAACACGGUCCCCCCCAAUGGUCCUCAGAAUAUGGCUUCCAACCUACCGGUGGGUAAGAUGGCUCUGGCACCGGGGGUGGUAGUAGUGGUUUUGGGAGAUCUAGUGGUGUAGGUAUGUGGUUAUUAUCCCCAUCCUCUGGUUGUAGUGGUUUUAACCUCUCUAGCGGUGUAGGGAUGUGGUUAUCUAGUGGUGUAGGUAUGCCGUUAUCCCCAUCCUGUGGUUGUGGUGGUUUUAGGUACUCUAGCAGUGUAGGUAUUUGGUUAUGCGCAUCCUGUGGUGGUUUAGGCUUUCCAGCAGGUUCCAGUAUUUCAAUACUCUUGAUCGAACCUUCACCUUUGCAGCUUAGCUUGUCUCUGAUGUUUUCAGGACUGCAGCUCACUACUUUUAUUGUCACCGUAUUUGUCUUCUCAUCGAAUAACUGGUCUUGUAUAUCUUUGUUUAAAAAGUCCAAACACAAUAUCUUAGCUCACCCAUCUAUCAAUCAUUUUUUCCAUUUACAAAUACAAAAUAAGCAAAUCUACUUAUACAUGCAAUAAAAUACGAAUACAGGAUUUUAUGCUAUUGGAAAACAUUUUACAGAACCCUAAUAUAUAAUAUAUAUUAGGGGAAAGGAUACCUGCACCUUGAAGUUUGUGGAAAUAAUCAUGUAGACCCUUAAAUUUUCAAUAAGUGAUAUCAAUACUCCCUUUUGACUAUAAUUCCUUUUAUAAAAAAUAACUAAAAAAAUUGACAUUAAAAAUUUUUAAUAUGUACAAAUUUAAUUUAACUACUUUAAUUUAUCUAGUAACAAAUAAUAUUAGAAUAUUUUUAAUAUAUAAAUAGUUUUUUAAAUUUCAACUAUUAUAUCAUUUUAAUAAUAUAUUUUGUAUUUAUUAUGAAAAAAUUUUAAAUAAAAUUUUGGAUUAAAUAGGCUUUAACAUUAAUAAAAUAUAUAUCUCUUGUAUUGAUAAAUUAAAAUCAUUUUAUAUAAUAUUGAAAAUAAUUUAAAUAUUUAUUUUAAUGUUAUGAUUCUAUUUAUUAUAAAAUUUACUUUAAUGUAUUAUAAGAUUGUAAAGUAUCAAAAUAUUUUUUAAAUAUUGAAAUUAUUUUAAAAUAUACAUACUGUUGCAUUUGUAUUAAUAUUGUAUUUCUAUUUAUUGUAAGACAUAGGAAUAAUUUUUUUGAGUUAAUUAAAUGAAAAAAAUAUUAUCGUUAAAUAAAGAUUUUGUUGUUCCAUAUUAAAAACUUGAGGGUAUAUGCAAUUAUUUUUUCAAAUCUUUAGCAUAUAGAUGUUCUUUUCCCUUUAUAACAUAUGUAAAUGCACGGGACUAGCGAUCUGGGAGACAUACUGUUGCAUUUGUAUUAAUAUUGUAUUUCUAUUUAUUGCGGCACUUUGAGUACCAAAGGUCAACCUUCAGCACCAUCUUUGUAACCUUCUGUAAACAAUAUUAAACAGAAAAUACAAAAGCAUUUUACUCUAGGCUAAUUAAACAGAUAGACAGACAGACAGACACACACACACACAAUGAGCUAUCAUCAUGAGAGAUCGAUCGAUGCAUGCACGGCACAAAUUUAAUCAAAAAGGCAAUCUGCAAACCUUCUCACCCAUAGCUGCUCGGAUCUAAACCUCAGCAAACGAGACACUGAUUAUCUAAAGAACUAAUGUGAAAGCAGGUAUGGAAAAGGGUCUUAUAAAUAAGUAAACCAGCUUAUUAAGAAGGGGAGGAAAACGUAAGGGAUUGAAUUCCGUACAUCAUUUGCAACCAAUUAUCUGCCCACACGUCUUAUGGGACGAUGUUGAAUUUCAUGUUAUCAAUAACAUUGUGUUAGUGUGGAAAUGUAAAAGAUUGAUAAGAGAAGUAAAAUUUUUAAAUAAUGAAAAUAUUAUUGAUAAAUUUAAAUAAACAAAACUAGAAUAUUUCAAUAAAUUUACAAUUUUGCCAAUGCAAAUGCCAUGCACAGUAGAAAAUAACAUCAUGUAAUCAUCCUAUAUCAUUCAUAUUUGUUGGUUCCAUCUCAUUUGGGAGCCCUAAAGCACAAAGUUUAAAAGGACUUGCUUGAUGUGUAAUUAAUAUUAAACUUUGAACUUGGAUGAAAUUUUCCAUGAAAAUCAACUUUGAGAAUCACGUGGAUACUUAAAUGAUUAAAAGCAAGCGGGUGACCUAAUUAGUAAUUACCAAUUACAAAAAAAAGACGAGAGAGAGGAAGACUCGUGAUAUUCAAUUUGGGGCAAGGGUUUCAAUUUUUGAUUGGAUGAUUGGAAAAUAAAUUUAAUUUUGUUUUCUCCUAAAUUUAAAGGGUAUUCUUGACAUCAUCCUCUACAAUUCUACUGGACUUGAUUUUUAUUAUAUUCUCUCAUUGGCAGUUAUUUUUAAUACCCACUUGGUAGAAAUACAGAUAUUAGAUUGUUACUGUAAGCCAAUAUUAUUGAGAUUCUUGAUAUUAUUAUCCUUUAGUAUUAUUUAGAAAAGAAUUUCUGUUGUAAUUUCAUUAAUAUUGUGGAUGACUGUAUCAAACUACGGUCCCAUAGUUUUUCCCAAUUUAAGUUUUUUACGUAAAAAUUUGUAUCUCUUUAGUUGGCUUAUUACUUUAGAUUGUAUUAGUUUAUUUUCUAUAUAUUUAUUUGUAAUAUACAUCUUAUUUUAAUCAUACAAAAGGAAAAAAAUUAAAUUUUUAUUUUUAUUUAAUUUAUAACUGAUUGUGUGGGUUCCUUUAUCCAGAACGUUACCAUUAACAUUGUCCUUAUAUCCUUACGUAGUAACUGCUGUUUCUCAUUUGUGUGUUGAUUGCUGACUCUCCGAUAUUCCAUUGCAUUUGCAUGUGCUGCCUUUUGAUUGAUUGCCCUUCUUGUAUGUUACGGAUUAUGUAACAUACACAACCAAUGGUUGGCAGCCAUGUGUCCUGAGGAGAGAGAAAAAUAUUGAAAUCAAGCAAUGGGAGUUGCCAGCCACUGGAUCUGUAAGUUACAUGAUCCGUAACUUAGCCAACUCCCUUUCUUAAUACUAAAAAUGAAACAAGUUGCUUAUUAAAUGAAUACAUGAUUGAGUUUUGUAUCUCCAAAGUCUAUCUUAACCCUAAUAUAUAACAAUCAUAAUCAUGAGUUUUGUAACAACCAAUUACUUUAGUAGUUUUCCAAUCAGGGAUCCCUGACGUUAAUAAAGUCAUGGAUUAGCUAAAAGACAAAAAAAAUUAAAUUUUACUACACUACAUGAUAAAAUACAGUGCAUUGAAGUAUGUGUUUAUUUUAUCUUUUAGCUAAUUCAUGACUUUAUUAAAGUCAGAAAUUUCUGAUUGGAAAACUACUCCCAAUUACUUUACAAUCAUUAUUGUAAGGGUCCGCCUAACUUAUGUUGAAUGUAAGUUACGGUCAGCUUGUGAAAUUUCAUCUAGCUCCCUAUACUCUAUAUUAUUUAUAUUUUAUUUAUGAAUAUUAUAAAUUUUUUGAAAUAUAAAAUUUCGUUUAACCCCUUAUACUCAAUUUUAUUUUAUUGAAACCAUAGAGUAUGAAUUCGCCCCCAUAAUUUUAAAUUCUCAAAAUAACCUCCAUUUAAUUAAAAAAUAUAAUUAUUUUUAAAUGAAUUAUAAUUAUAAUUAUAAUUAUAAUUUUAUUAUAAUCAUAAAUAUUUUUUUAAAUAGAUUAUUGUUAUUAUUAAUAACAAGAAUAAAAAGUAUUAUAAAUUGUUAAUAAUAAUAAUAAUAAUAAUUAAUGAUUAUCUAACUAAUAGUAAAUGUAUUGCUAAUGUUACCUUCGACUUUAAAUACUCAUUAUCGGGUUUCAAGAGACCAAUGAAUGACAAUUUCUGUCAAAAUUUUAAGCUUGACCCAAUAAAAAUAGUUUUGCAUUUAAAAAAUAGAAGCAAUAAAAAUGUGUUUACAUCCUCGAAGUUGUAACAACUUAACAAAAAGCACUUAAAAAUGACCGUUUAAUAAUGAGAUGCCUAUGAAACCAUUAUUUAUCAAAGUAACAAAAAAUCCUGAAAGUACUUGAAAUUAAAAAGUAUAGAAAUACUUCUACAUAAAUAUAGACUCAGUGUUUAUUCUAUUUUAUUAUAAUCAUAAAUAUGUUAAUUAUCAUUUAUUAUUAUUAUUAUUACUAACAAUUUAAUAAAAAAUAUUAUUAAUUAUUGUUAAUAGAUUAAUUAAUUAUAAUAUUUUUUAUUAUCGUUAUUAAUAAUAACAAUAAUCUAUUAAAAAAAUAUUUAUGAUUAUAAUAAAAUUAUAAUUCAUUUAACAAUAAUUAUAUUUUUUUAUUAAAUAGAGGUUAUUUUGAGAAUUUAAAAUUAUGGGGCGAAUUCAUACUCUAUGAUUUUAAUAAAAUAAAAUUGAGUAGAAGGGGUUAACAAAAUUUUACAUUUCAAAAAGUUUAUAAUAUUUAUGAAUAAAAUAUAAAUAAUAUAAAGAAUAAGAAGCUAGAUGACAUUUCAUAGGCUGACCGUAACUUACAUUGCACGUAAGUUAGGCGGACCCUUAUUAUAAAUAUUUAAUAAUGGAUCUCCCCAUGAAUGUAAGACAUUCUUCUCACAUGAAUAUUGUAUACGUGAGAAUGAUGUAUGUUACCUAGAAUUGCCUUUAACAAUUUCAUUGGGCAAAUGUCAUGUCAAACUGACUCAUGCGGCGUGCAUACACCAAAGCAUGGUCGGUAGACCGCUACUUUUAAAUUGUGUGACGUGACUUAAAUGAAUUUAAUUUGUGGCUGAUUUUUGGCCUAUUUAAUGAUCUAGCUGCCAACGUGUUGCUUGCUUGAAUGAAUGAAAGGGAAACAAAAAUUAUUCAAUUUCGGAAACAUUAUUGUAAUUUCUCACGCAAAGAAUUGUGCAUGCAUGCAUAUCACCAGUAGAAAGAUGAAAGAACCCACUAUCGUCAGAUAUGUGUUAUAAAGUCGUAUUAAUUUCUCGUUGUCCACGUAUCCCCAAUGCACCCCACAUAUUACCACAUAUAGUAUUUACUUGUUGGAGUAGAAUUAGAGACUGUGAAUUUCUUUUACUCUAUUAUUUACUUACUCAUAUUAAUAGGAGAGUGGGAGUCCCACUUCGUGAAUCCCGCUCAUUUUUUAAUUAAAGAAUAUGAUUUUCACUCCCACCACUUUUUUUUUAAACUUCUUUUAUUAUAUACAAUAUAAUUUAUAUUUAUUAAAAUAAAAUAAAAUAAAAUAAUAUUACAUUUACAUAAUUUAUUAUAUUAUUUAAUAAUAUUAUAUUUAUUAAAAUAAUCAUAUUAAACUUAUUUAAUUAUAGUAUUAUUAUAUUUAGUUAAAAAUAAUAAUUUAUGUAAUCCAAGUUAAAAUUAUUUAGAAAUAAUAUUAUCAUAUUCUUAGAGAAUUGAUAAUAUUAUUAUAUACCAUCUGUAUUUGAAAAUAUAAUAUUAUUAUAUUUAUUUUAUUUUGAUAGUAUUAUAAUUAUUUAACAUUAUAAUUAAUAACAAUAAAUAUUUUAUUCUAAGAAAUUAUUAAUUUUGUACUAUAUUAUUAAUAAUAAUGUUUCAUUUAUAUUGCUGUUAUUAAUAAUUUUUAAUUUACAUAAUUAAAAUUAAUAAAAAUUAUGGUUUGCAUAAUUGAGAAUAAUAAUAAUUAUUAUUGUUUAUUCACUUUGUAAUUAAAAACUAAAAUUCUUUAAACAAAGCUAAAAUUGUAAUUUGAAAGAAUUCACUCCCAAUCUAAGACACUGUAAACACAUAUAUAGGGUUCUGAUUCAAGUGUAAGUAAACAAUCUACUCUCAUUCUCACUCCACACUCUUAAUCAUAGGAUUCCCACUCUUUAAGAUUCUCAAUCCAAUUCAACAAGUAAACGUUACCUUAAAAGACUUUUUAAGAUGGACUGAUUUUGCAUGACCAAAUAGAACUCAGGUAGCAUUUACUUCUCAAUUUGAUAGGAAUUCUUAAGGAGUGUGAAUAUUGAGAUUAAAAGUGUGGAGCAAGAGUGUGGAAUAAAAACCAGGAUCUCAUUUAUGUAUCAACUUUAUAUUAGAUUGCGAGUAAAUUGUUUCAGAUUAUAGUGUUAUCUUACUUUAAAAAAUUGUAGUUUUAAUUACGAAAUGAGUAACAAAAUAAUAUUAGUAAGAUAAACUAUUUAUUGUAUUAUUAAGUUUAGAAAUAUAAAAUUUAUUAGUCAUUAUUAAUAUUCUUCGUAGAUUAAUAUUAAUUUUUAUAGCAUUGAAAUUUAAAUCACUAUCCCCUGUUCUAGUAUUAUAUAUUCAGUUACAGUCUAGUGGCCACGGACAAAACAUAUACCCAUUGGGUGGUUGGUCAUGCCAGCUCCCCAAAAUCGGCCCAUUGAUAAUUGAUGAAUGAAUCAUCUCCAACAUCGAUCCGACAUACACCAUCAAAACCAAGUUGCACAAAUCGUUACCCUACAAAGUGUAGGGGAAAAAUCAGGUUUUUAAUUUUUUAUAAAACCUUUUGAAGAUCGCUCUCAUAUAAUAUAUAAGAAUUCGUAUUCUAGAAAUCGUACCUUGAAAAUCCGAGUUGGUUUUUUCCGCUGAAGUGAUUUAGGCUCCUAGAUCACGAUCCGCCACCACCACUCCUGUUAGAUCACGAUCCGUCACCACCACGCUUGUUAGAUCGCGAACUGUCACCAAUGAUCUUCCAGGUUAUGACUCAGGUUCGAUCUGCACUUGACGUGUGGGCGCCUUUAUCACUACCAAAGCAACUAGCACGAGAAAAUUUUUCUCUCAACAAUAGAGAGAAAAAUCUUAUUCUCCGAUUUGUAUAAAGUGGCUUCUCUCUUUUUCUUUAGAGAAAAUAAGCCUUUUAUAUCACCCUUUAGUGAAAACCCUAGGCUCCAAAUAAUCCAAAAAACAAAACCCACGUUAUUUGCUUUUUUAAUAAGGGACCCACCUUGUAAAAUAACAUAAGGCCCCUUACACAAAAGCUAAUUAAAUGGAGCCUCCCACUAAAUGAUAUAUUUAGGCUUUUGACCCAAAUAGCUAGUUAUCUUACUUAUUAGUCCAGUAGUGGUGCAAUUAAUUAAAUGAGCUAACCCGGGGAUCAUUUGGGAACAUAUAAUAGUGGCUACAAUAAUUAGGCCUGUAAUUAAACUAGCCCAAUUAUUUAAUUCCAAAUCUACUCCACUAAAAGAUUGGAACUGACUUCCAUAAUUGUAUGCUCGAAUAAUAAUUCGUCCCAAGCCACAUUGAUUUCUUUACUGCACAAUCCUUUGUACCACAUCGUUAAUUAAAUUGAUAUCUCAACUGUCCAAUCAAUUUAAUAACAUCUUAUUCCUUGAUCCUUACUGGUUUUCUCUAAUGAUCAUUUUCAACAUACUAAAUAUGUUGACACACUCUGGCCAGAGAAUUUUAUGAUCAAGUACCGAAAACCUAUCAAGAGAUGUGUUGUACAAAUUCUAUAUUGUUAAUCCAUAACUCCAAUACUCAUAAUUGCUCCCACCAAGAUACCGGGUAAUCUUGACCACAAGGAUGUGUCGUGCCCAUUGGUAACUCAAAUGAAAUAACAAUCACAAUCAUGAAAUCAUAAUUAACUCAAGAUUAAGAUUACAGUAAAAUCAACGCCUAUGAGAUUUAAUAAGUCUGACAGUUAUUACAAAGUUAAUUAAAUCUCAUAUGUGAUCCUGUUCAAUGUAGUCGUACUACAUCAAUAAAUUCAUACAUGAUUAAGACAAAUCAUUCAAUGAAUUUAUUACAGUCUAUACCUAAAUAAAGUGCCCAACUUUAUUUAUCAACUGCGAACUAAAUUUAUUUAAUCAUAAGAUAACUUGUAUUUAUGUCUUCUGUGAAUCCACAUGGUGAUCACAUAAAUACAUAUAAUAUGAUUAAAUGGACUUUAAUACAAAUAUUAAUGCAAUUAAGAUAUUUGAAUAAAAUACCUCAUUUAUUUUAUUAAUCAGAAAAAUUGUUUAUUACAAUUAAAUAAACACAUAUGCUUUUAAAGAGCAUAUUUUCCCAACAAUCUCCCACUAGCUCUCAAAGCAUAUCUGGCAUAUUGCACAUGCUCUAGGGCUCUAAAUAUAGGUUAUAAAGGUUUCCCACUAAUGGCCAUUGUAAUAAGAUCUGCCAUUUAGCAUCUAAUGCCAUUUGGGGUACUGUCAUAUAACCUUUCUACACUAUUCCCUUAUAAGAUGAUACUUCCUUUCAAUAUGUUUUGUUUCUUGUGGUUCCUUGGUUCCUUAGAUUGAGCUAUCGCACCACCAUUAUCACAAAAUAGUUUAAGGGGUGCAGUUACAAAAGGUACCACCUCAAGAUUACGUAGGAACUUGCAGAGCCAUAUAGCUUCUUUUGCAGCUUCAGAUGUAGCCACAUAUUCAGCUUUAGUUAUUGAGUCUGUGAUAUAAGAUUGUUUCACACUCAUCCAACUAACAGCUCCACUUCCCAAUGUAAACACAUAGCCGGAAGUUGAUUUUCUAAAAUCCUUAUCUGACAAAAAAUCAGAAUUAGUAUAACCCACUAGAAUAAGUUUAUCACCAGAAUACACAAGCAUAUAAUUUUAAGUUCUUUUCAGAUACUUCAUUAUAUGCUUGACCGCAGUCCAGUAUUGAGGUCCAGGAUUAAAUUGAUAUCUGCUAACCAUCCAUACCGCAAAACAGAUGUCUGGCCUAGUGCAAAGCAUGGCAUACAUGAGACUUCCCACAGCGUCUGCAUAGGGAACUCGUCUCAUUCUCUCUAUCUCUUCAGAUGUUUUAGGUGAUUGAUCCUUAGAGAAUGUAAUUCCAUGUCUGAAUGGUAAUAAACCAGUCUUGGAAUUUUCCAUGCUAAAUCUAGCCAAUAUCUUAUCGAUAUAGACCGCUUGAGACAAGGCUAAAGUUUUAUUCUUCCGGUCUCGAAGUAACUUGAUACCAAGAAUAUAACUUGCCUCUCCCAGGUCUUUCAUAUCAAAUUGUUUUGCUAACCAACUCUUUAUUGUAGUCAAUACUCCUAUAUUGUUUCCAAUUAGGAGAAUAUCGUCUACAUAAAGAAUUAGGAAGGCUACAAAUUUUUCUUGAAUUUUCUUGUACACACAUGGUUCAUCAAUGUUCUGAAUGAAUCCAAACGAUUUUAUCGCUUGAUCAAAUCUGAUGUUCCAUGACCGGGAUGCUUGCUUCAAUCCAUAAAUGGAUCUCUGCAACUUACAUACCAUGUGUUCUUGGCCUUUUUGUAUAAAUCCAUCUGGUUGCUGCAUGUAGAUGUUUUCUUCAAGAUGCCCGUUGAGAAAGGCAGUCUUGACAUCCGUUUGCCAAAUUUCAUAAUCUAGCACUGCAGCAAUGGAGAGUAGAAUCCUGAUGGAUUUAAGCAUAGCAACCGGAGAAAAAGUUUCCUCAUAAUCGAUUCCCUCUUUCUGAGUAAACCCUUUGGCUACUAAUCUUGCUUUAAAUGUUUCCACCCUUCCGUCUACUCCUCUUUUUCUCUUGUAGAUCCACUUGCAUCUAUAGGUUUUACCCCAUUUGGUGCCUUUACAAGUUCUCAGACUUUAUUGGAAUACAUAGAUUCCAUUUCUUGAUUCAUGGCCUUUUUCUAAAAUUCAACAUCUCUAUUUAUUAGAGCUUCGUUGUAACUAGUGGGAUCUUGUACAUGUUCAUCUGAGAUAGCCGUAUAGGUUUCUCCCAAAAGCAUGUAUCUCGCAGGUAACCUAGUUACCCUCCCACUACGACGAGGUUCUAAAAGUGAUGGUUGUUCAAGGAUAAUCCUGUACUGAUCAGCUGGUUGUUGCUGUUCUUCCUGUUCUAUAACAGGUGUUGAAAGCUGAGCAUCAACCUGAUCUCUUUUAUUUCUCUAGUUUUACCUUACUCUUAGGUUAUAAGUCAUUAUAUAGUCUUCCUCAAGAAAGUAAAGAAUAUUUCUAUAAAUACAUUCCUAUCUGAGGACUAUAAUCCAGACUUUCCCUUAUUCCUUUAAGAUACCUAAAACAUGCAAGCUUCUGAACACAAAUCCAUCUUCUCUAUCUCUGAUUCUAGUAGAAAUACUAGUAAACUCCAAAUACGAAUGUGUCUCAAACCAUGUUUGUGACUUUUUCAUAAUUUCUUGGAGUAGUGUACACCGAGAUAGAUGAAACUAAGUUCAAUAAACUUUGUAGUUUCAAAUACUAGUAUCUGGAAUCAAAAAGGUAAAUGAUAAACCACUUAGUAUAUAUCUUGUCUUAUCCAAAAGAAUCUUGUUUCUCCAUUUAAUUACACUAUUGUAUCAUAGUGUUCAUUGACAACCAAAUAGUGCUUGAAUUCUCCAUAGAGAUAUUCUUUGUUUCGAUCAUAUCGAAAUUCUUUUAUGUUCACUGUCUAAUUGCUUCUGUCUUAUUCACGUACUCUUUUGAAUUUCAAAAGCAAUGGAAUAAUGACGCAUUUAGACAAACAUAAAUAAAAUGAAUAUUCAUCAACUAGAUUGAUAGAAUACUCAUAACCUCUUAUAACAUGUAAACUGAUUAGUCUGUAUACAUUUGUAUGCGCUAAAUCAUCAAAUACAAUGUUAUGCUUUUAGCUCAUAAAGAGCAUCCUUGUCAUAUUACUUUUCUAAAUAAGAUUUAUAGAGUUACAAUGAUCAAUCUUAAUAGGCCAACAAGUCUAUCAUUAAUCAUUUUCUUAAAAUCUUAUUAUAGUUUAUAUGACUUAAGCAUAAAUAUCAGAGGUGAUUUUUGGUUAGAAGAAACAUUUCUUUUCUUAGAUAAAUGCAUAUACUUUUUAUCAUUAUAUCUUACUUUGAAUAGAUCAAUGUACUUUUAUGAUAUAAAUUGUCUUUAUAAAUAACCAAAAUAAGUAAUAAACAGAGGAUCCAAAAAUAACAGUGUACUCCUGUUUAUUAAAACAAGCCACCGAAAUUAAACUCCUCUAAUAUUUGAAAAAAUAAAGACAAAUAUCAAAACUAAAGUCUUGUAAAAUUGAUCUAGUCUUUCAAUUGAUAUAAACUAGCAUGUCCUCAAUUGCUGUUUGAAGCUUUCUUCACUUAAUCUCUUGGUUUCCUGAAAACCAAAUAAAUGAAUUACAAAUAAGAUUAGUUAUCUCAGAAUUCAUUAUUGUAUGAAUCAAUAGUAAAUCUGAACUAAUUAGGAAGCUUAAAGAUUUCCUAUACCUGAUUUUAAUAAUCUUAGGACAAUCUUUCUUCCAGUGACCCUUCUGUCCACAUUUGUAACACUUGCCUUUUGGCUUGCCACUUCUUUUAGUGGACAGUUUGCCGAUCCCAACUCUUGCUUGCUCAUUCUUGUCUUUUGACUUAAGCCUUGAAGAGAAUCCUUUUUCAGGAAGUUUUCUGCUAUGAUAAAAUUCUUCUAUAACAUGUAGUUCGUGCAUUAAUUCAAUUAAGGUCAUAUCUUUAUUGUUUAAGAUAUAACUGACCUUAAACUCUUUGAAUGUAUCAGGUAAAGAUUCAAUCACCAUGUUAAUCUUUGAUUUAUCAUUGAUUUGAACACCAUGAAUCUCUACCUCAUUCAAAUAGUCCAUCAUUUUGAGGACAUGAUCACGAACUUUUGUGCCCUCUUCCAUCUUAGUAUCCGUAAUACGUUUUAAUGCUGCUUCUCUGGCAAAAUGGGUAUUUUGCCCAAACAUCUGAUGAAGACUAGCCAUUAUUUCAGUGGCUGUUUCCAUGCUCCGAUGUUUCUUAUGCAGUUCCACAGAAAUCGAAGCCAAUAUAUAGCGCUUAGCCAUUUUGUUAGCUUGGCACCAUUUCUCAUAAGGCUCCCUCUGAUUUCUAUAAUCGUAUAACGAUGGUUCAGGAGGGCAAGGCUGGGUCAACACAUAUUUGCUUCCCUUAGCAGUGAGAAUAUUAAAUAGAUUGCGUUUCCAAUCUAAAUAAUUUUCGCCAGUGAGUUCAUUUUUAACAAGGAUAAUUAAUAAUGGGUUGAUGGAAGACAUUUUCUGAAAAACAAAACAAAAUAAACAUGCAUAAAUACUUUGAAACAAUAUUCACAAUAAAUGACAAAAAUGCAAAAAACCAUAAAUGCAUUUUAAUUUAUUGUAACGAUAAUCUAGUACCGUUUUGACAAGCUAUCCGUUGGGGAAGUCAUGUCUACACUUACUAGACCCAAUUAUCCAUUAGAUUAUUUACUUUCAUGCAAAGACAUGAUAAAUAAUUAUCGUUAUCCCUUUGGGCCUAAAUUUGUUAACAGAGCUUCGUUGGGAAGGUUAAUAACAAACUUUAGUUGAGUGUAUAACCAUUGUUUCAAUCUACGUAUUUUUCAUAUCAAUAGUCACCGUUGGGGUGAACAAUCGAUUGAAAAAUAUUUCAAUUUUAUCUUUGAAGAAGUUCAUCAAAUAAAAUAUCUAAUAUAUAUACCCUCCGAAGGGAGCAUCACCGUAUUAUGAAGUCGAGGUAUAUAUAUAAUUUUAUUAUUGAACUAACAAUGGAGCCCGUGGGAAAAUUAUCUUGAAUUUUCCCUCUCCCACUCAAUAUUUUAAAAUUGGUUUUUCCUUUUUAAAACAUACAUAUUGUUAAUUGCAUGCUUCCUAUAAUAUUAUCUAGAUGAUAUCAAAUAUUAUUAAGCAUAUGCAAAUUUCAAACAAUAUAAUGAAAUUCAUUAUUAAUGAAUGACAUGUAUCAUUAUGCAUAGAGUGGCACUACCUAUUCUAUAUGACAUGUUAUCAUGGCAUGUUAUCAUCCAAAACAUAACAUAUAGAAAAAUAAUUAAAUAAUCUUAAUUCAUGGCUUUCCUAGUAAUGAAAAAUACAUUAACCCUAAGUCUAAUCUUCAUUGGGCUUCUUGUCAAUGUCCAUCUUCCAUAAGUUUGUCUUUGUUAAUGGACUAGGGGAAAUUGGGCUUUUAAAUUUAUAAUUGGUCCAAUUUUAAUUUUGAAAGGAAAUAAAUAAAAUAAAUAGUUUUAAUUUUAUUUUUAUUAAAAUAAAACUUUUGGACCAAAAAUAAAUUUAAUGUAUUUAAUUUUAUUUAUGCAUUUUUAAUCCAUUAAGCCCAAAUUUAAAUUGGGCCUAAAACUAGGAUUCUUUAAGUCCAAAACUGUUUUUGGAUUUAAACGCAAAAAAUUGAAACAUUUCUGCCCGAAAGAAAACUCAUGAAACCAUAGGGACCUCCAUGAUAAAAACCAUGAAACCCUAAAAUCAUAUUUUUCUUUCUUUCAUCUUCCCCAGCCGCCAUCUCCACAAAGGGCAGCGACUGUUCACGCAUCUCCGACGCCGAUUUGCUGCCGCCGUGUUGCCGGAAACGCUCCAAACUCGCGCACGCAACUUGCUGCUCGUGCAGCUCGCGCUACUGGCCACGCUGGCCGCGCGCUCUGUUUGCUGCGCGCGCAGCCUGUGCCAGCGCGUGCUGCGCGCACAAGCCACGCUUCCCGCGAGUGCUGGCUGCUGCGUGCUGCUGCCGCUGCGCGUGCAGCGCGCGCUUGCUGGCAGCAUGUGCUGCUGGCCGCGCGCUGCUUGCUGCUGGUUGCCAUUGUCAAAAUUUCCGGCCUCCGUCACUCUGAUCUUGAAAAUUCGAGAUUAAUUUACAAAUUUCCUAGGCCAAUUUUGGCUUACAAAAAUUCUAUAACAGUAAAAUAAAUCAAGAGGGAAACAUGGUGAUAAAAAACCACCCCUCCUGUUACAGAUCCAAAGAAAAAUACAACGAAAAAUCUAACCAUGAAUUAAGACAAACCAAAACAUGCUUCAUUCAUAUAUUAAACAAAUAAUAUGUAUCUGAAUAAAUUGUGCCACUCUAAUACAUAAAUUUCAAGAAUGAUUUCAUACGAAAUUCUUAUAUAUUAAUAUGAGAUGGCUCUGAUACCAAUUGUAGGGGAAAAAUCAGGUUUUUAAUUUUUUAUAAAACCUUUUGAAGAUCGCUCUCAUAUAAUAUAUAAGAAUUCGUAUUCUAGAAAUCGUACCUUGAAAAUCCGAGUUGGUUUUUUCCGCUGAAGUGAUUUAGGCUCCUAGAUCACGAUCCGCCACCACCACUCCUGUUAGAUCACGAUCCGUCACCACCACGCUUGUUAGAUCGCGAACUGUCACCAAUGAUCUUCCAGGUUAUGACUCAGGUUCGAUCUGCACUUGACGUGUGGGCGCCUUUAUCACUACCAAAGCAACUAGCACGGGAAAAUUUUUCUCUCAACAAUAGAGAGAAAAAUCUUAUUCUCCGAUUUGUAUAAAGUGGCUUCUCUCUUUUUCUUUAGAGAAAAUAAGCCUUUUAUAUCACCCUUUAGUGAAAACCCUAGGCUCCAAAUAAUCCAAAAAACAAAACCCACGUUAUUUGCUUUUUUAAUAAGGGACCCACCUUGUAAAAUAACAUAAGGCCCCUUACACAAAAGCUAAUUAAAUGGAGCCUCCCACUAAAUGAUAUAUUUAGGCUUUUGACCCAAAUAGCUAGUUAUCUUACUUAUUAGUCCAGUAGUGGUGCAAUCAAUUAAAUGAGCUAACCCGGGGAUCAUUUGGGAACAUAUAAUAGUGGCUACAAUAAUUAGGCCUGUAAUUAAACUAGCCCAAUUAUUUAAUUCCAAAUCUACUCCACUAAAAGAUUGGAACUGACUUCCAUAAUUGUAUGCUCGAAUAAUAAUUCGUCCCAAGCCACAUUGAUUUCUUUACUGCACAAUCCUUUGUACCACAUCGUUAAUUAAAUUGAUAUCUCAACUGUCCAAUCAAUUUAAUAACAUCUUAUUCCUUGAUCCUUACUGGUUUUCUCUAAUGAUCAUUUUCAACAUACUAAAUAUGUUGACACACUCUGGCCAGAGAAUUUUAUGAUCAAGUACCGAAAACCUAUCAAGAGAUGUGUUGUACAAAUUCUAUAUUGUUAAUCCAUAACUCCAAUACUCAUAAUUGCUCCCACCAAGAUACCGGGUAAUCUUGACCACAAGGAUGUGUCGUGCCCAUUGGUAACUCAAAUGAAAUAACAAUCACAAUCAUGAAAUCAUAAUUAACUCAAGAUUAAGAUUACAGUAAAAUCAACGCCUAUGAGAUUUAAUAAGUCUGACAGUUAUUACAAAGUUAAUUAAAUCUCAUAUGUGAUCCUGUUCAAUGUAGUCGUACUACAUCAAUAAAUUCAUACAUGAUUAAGACAAAUCAUUCAAUGAAUUUAUUACAGUCUAUACCUAAAUAAAGUGCCCAACUUUAUUUAUCAACUGCGAACUAAAUUUAUUUAAUCAUAAGAUAACUUGUAUUUAUGUCUUCUGUGAAUCCACAUGGUGAUCACAUAAAUACAUAUAAUAUGAUUAAAUGGACUUUAAUACAAAUAUUAAUGCAAUUAAGAUAUUUGAAUAAAAUACCUCAUUUAUUUUAUUAAUCAGAAAAAUUGUUUAUUACAAUUAAAUAAACACAUAUGCUUUUAAAGAGCAUAUUUUCCCAACACAAAGAACAUAAAGAAGCCGGGCAGCAAACACAGAGGUGAGAAUGAGAGCGAAGAGGUUGGUAAACAGUCAACAUUGAUACGGACACAUUACAUCAAACAAAAAGAAUCCCGACUUUACAACUAAAAUUUAAGUGACCAUAAUAAUAAUUGUUCAAGCUUUUAGGGCUAGUCUUAUCUUUUAUUGCCUAUACUACCUAUCUUAGUCUUAACUUCCCUCUUGAUGCUGCCUUACAUGUGGUUACGCCAAGCAUUUUGGGAAAUUUACAAAAACAGCCAUAAAAUUUUUGCUAUUUUCACAAUUAACCCUUUCAACUUUUUUCUAUCAAUAUUAGCCAAACACACGCUUUUCUCCUCAAAUUACCCUUCUUCACAAACGAAAAGAAGUUUGGUGCAACAGGCCCAAGUCUUGGUGCGACAGGCACCUGUCGCACCAUGCUUGGUGCGACAGGUUGUCUUCUUCUACCUCAGUAUUUGUUUGUUUUCGUCAGUCCUUUCGUCUUUGUUCGUCUCUUCUUAUUCGUAUGUAAUAUCUUCUUCUACCUCAGAUCGAAUCUCAUCCGACAACCCAAACAACAAAACAAAAUCAGCUUUUUAAUUCUCCAAAAUCCAAUUUCGGAAUUCAAAUUUCCCGGGACUUUCCAUCAAAAGCCAUGUUGCGAAAUGCUAGGCGGGCUGUACAGAGACCUACCUCCACCCUCCGAUGAGGACAAACCCACCAACACGACCACCACUGUUUGGUCAAUUUUCGCGCCACCACAAACCAUCCUCAAGCCCUAAUCCAAACCCAAAACCACCCAAAAUUCUCUCCCGACUAGACCCCAUUCCUCACCUGCAAUCGCACCUUUCCCCGACGACGUGGUAGCACUGCCGCAACUGGCAUUGGUCGACGUCACUUCGACCGUAAUCGAGGGGCACGACCCCGCUAGACCGAACGAUUACGAGGAUUAUAGGAGAGAGAAGAAGAAGAAGAAAGAGGUGGAUGCUGAAAUUAGUAGAGAACUGGAGAGAAGAAGGCAAGAGGAAGAGGAAAGGGAGAUGAGAGAGAGGGGUAAUUUGGUCUCAACGGUUCUUUUAUGGCUAAUGUUGAUAGAAAUUUAUUUGAGGGGUUAAGAUGGAAAAAACUAAAACUUUUAUGGUUAUUGGUGUAAAUUUCCCAAGCAUUUUUCGAACUCUUUCAUGUUGUUACCCCUUUUUUCGAACUCACUUUUGCUGUUUUUUUCACAUUUUUCCUGAAUUCACGUAACAUCGCUGGCGCUUUUUUUUUCGCAUACUCUUCCUUCUCACUAUAACAUCAACUGGGCCACCACCUCCUGCUUCUCCCUGUUCCCGUCAAUUUUUGUUUUCAAUUUCCAUCGUUGAUAGGACAUUUUUUAAAAUCACGUGGUUGUUAUUUUCUUCCAUAUAUUAAAUUCCACACGUUCUAUCAAUACACGAGGUGCACCAUAGUUGUAACCUUAAAAGUGAACUGACGAAUAUACAAGAUAUAUAAUUAAAACGGUAUCUUUUUUCUUUCUUCAUUUUUUUAGAGUGGAGCUAUCAGCACCGCUCUAAUAAUCUCAUAAAACUUCUAUUCUGAAUGCACUCAUUGAUUAAAGUACUAAAAUUACUCUUUUACUAAUUCAUUUUAAUUCCUUAAAAUAAUCCUAUCCUCUUCCUUCUAAAUGAAUCCUAAAAUAAUUUUAAAAAAAAUCUCAUGAUCAGUAGUAACAUAGUAUAGCACUUAAAAAAUAGAUUUAUCCAUAACCAAUAAACAAAAUAAUCCACCAUGACUAUUAACUCUACACGCUUCCUUAAUGAAAGUAUUAAAUGUUGGGAUUAUGUGCUCUUUAAAAUAUAUUGAUUGAUUGAUUUAUUAUAAUAAAUACAUUUUCUUUUUAAUAAAAUAUUUGAGAUAUUUUUGGACAUCUUAAUUACAUAAAUAUUUUGAAUUAAGUUCGUUUAAUCAUAUUAUAUGUAUUUACGUGAUCAUCGUAUGGAUUCACAAAAUACGUAAUAACAAGUUAUCUUAUGAUUAACUAAAUUGAUUUUGUAGUUGAUAAAUAGAGUUGGACAUUUUAUUUAUGUUUAGAUUGUAAUGAAUUCAUUGAGUGAUUUGUCUUAAUCAUGUAUAAAUUUAAUAAUGUAGAUUGACUACAUUAAAUUGGAUUAUAUAUGAGAUUUAAUUAACCUUGAAAUGACAGUCAGACUUAUUAAAUCUCACGAGAAUUGAUUUUAUUACAAUCUUAAUCUUAAGUUACUUAUAGUUUCAUUAUUAUGAUUGUUAUUCCAUUUGAGUUACAAAUGAGGGUAACUUAUUUCUACUCAAGAUUACCUGAUAUCUUUGUGGGAACAAUUAUGAGCAAUGAGAGUAUAAAUUAACAAUAUAAAAUUUAUGCAACACAUUUGUUGAAGGGUUCUUAGUACUUGGUUAUAGCAUUCUCUAACCAGAGUAUGUAAACACAUUUAGUAUGUCGAAAAUGAUCACUAUAGAAAACUAAUAAGUGUCAAGGAAUAAGAUGUAAUUAAAUUAAUUGUACAGUUAAGAUAUCAAUUUAAUUAAUAAUGUGGUACAAAUGAUUGUUCAAUAAAAAAAUCAUUUUGGCAUGGUUAAAUUAUUAUUCGAGAACAGUAUCCUAAAUAGUAUACAAUUAUAGAUGUUAGUUCGAAUCUUUUACUAGAGUAGAUUUGAAUUAAAUAAUCAAUCUACUUUGAUUACAUGUCUUAUUAUUGUAGCCAUUAUUGUGUAUACCCAAAUGAUUCACAAGUUAGCUCACCUAAUUGACUACACAAGUGCUGGAAUGAUAAAUAAGAUAAUUAUAUAUUUGCAUCAAAAACCUAAAUAUAUUAUUUGAUGGGAGGCUUCAUUCGAUAUGUUUGCGUGUAAAUGGGCUUUUGUUAUGUUAUAAGGUGAACCCCCCAUGAGAAACACAAGUGCUAUGCCACUUUUUGGCUUUAUUUUAUAUUUUAAUUUAAACCAAAUAUUUUUUAUUUAAUAGAACUAAAAGUUAAGAUAAAAUAGAGAAGCUUAGAGUUUUCACAAAUAGAUAUAAAAAGACUUGUUCUUUCACAAAAGAAUAGAGGAACCAAUACGGGCUAGUUGGUUUUAGUUGUAAUAAAAGCACCCACACGUCGAGUAUAGAUCGAACUUGAGUCAUAAUAUGUUGGUGAUAGAUUGUGAUCUAAUAAUAUAGGUGAUGACGGAUUGUGACUUCAGAGGCUAAACUAUUUAUAUGAAAAAGUAAAGAUACAAUUUUUAGAUUAUGAUAAUUCUAUAUGUUGUAUGAGAAUUUUGAUACAAAUAUUUCUGCUGCAAUUAUUAUUUUUAGCCAAUAUUAAAUACCCUUUUGAUUGUUAGUUCUGCAUGCAAGGGAAAAUUAUAUUUGAGCCUCAUUUGCUUAGGUUUGUUGUUUUGUGGCUCAAUUUUUUUUUUUGAAAAAUAAUUCGUAAAGUGUGUAAACAGCUUUAUAAUUACUUUUUGAUUUGACUCGAGAGUUCUUGUCAUUUCAGUCAAGGUUAAAUGUGUAAAUACAUGGCAGUGGAAUUUUAUAAGAUUUUUUUAGGGUGCCAAUAGUAACCUCAUUUUUUUAAUGAAUAAUAAUCCUGACCAAUGGGAUAAAAAAACAGACCAUAUCUUGACUUUAUCAAAGCGACAAACCAAAUCAGUCAUCAUCACCGACAAGUGAACCUACCCCAUUAGGAAGAAAUUAUGAAAGAGUUAAUAAUAUAAUGAUAAUGGUAAUGAUGAUAAUAAUAAUCAGCCUGCCCAUUAAGAAGAAAUAUAAAAGAACGGAAAAAAUAAAUUGUUACAAAUGGAAAUGAAAGAUGUAAAAAGUUAAAAGAUAUGUUGUGUACUAUAAAUUGUAGAAUACUUUUGUUGUACUUUUAUUCUUUAGUACGUAGCUUUAGAUGAGGUUUAAGAAUAUUCAAUGCUUUAGUCUCAAAAGUCUUCGCCCGAAAUUUACGGCGUCAACAUAUUUGAGCAUUUUGAGAUUCACAGAAAAGCUUAAAGCAUUUCAUCAACUGAUGGGAAUCAAGUUUUACUUGCUAUGAGGAUUAAGAAUGUCUAGCUUACUCUGUGAGCAAAAUAUUUAAACGCCCUUAGACGAGGAGCGGAGUGGCAAAUUAAGUCACCCCACGUGUCCGCAUGGACCUAUGAUUUCUGAACAAAAUGUUCGUUUGCACAUAAGAGUAUAAGAAAUGGAAUUUCCAGGAUCCCAUUAUUGAAUUUGAGGUGUGGUAGAUUGUGUGUGGUAAUGUAACUUAUAUCCAAUUUAAGAGUUGCACUCAAAUAACUCCAGACAUAUUGAUAAUAAAAGAAAACUUAAAUUUUUAGAUGCUAUAAGUUAUAUUUAAUAUAACAUUGACCCAGGCUUUUGCUUGACUCUAAUACAGACUUGACAUUAAACACACAAUUCAGAUGACUGAAAACAGAGCCUUAGCAAAUCCAGAAAAUGAUUGGUUGCUAACAAGUGGACUUCCAACAAAUUCUUCUGUAUUGGGAGAUGAAGAAGAACAACUUUCCUGAACCAAUGGGUAACUAGCUGAUUAUUUCAAGCAGCCACAAGUCACACACACCACAUUGAUAUAGCCAAGGUUUUUUAAAUGGAUUAAAAUCCAACGAUGCGCUGAGUUUUGACUCGGCCUUUAAGGUUCUACAUACACCUGUCAUUCCCCACAAUCAACCGUAAAUUAAAUUUUCAUUUCUUUUAAUCAUUUUUUUCUUGCCUAAUAGAACAUUCUUUACAUUACUGUAUUAUCCCUCUCAAAGUAAAAAAACUAACGAAUACCGUCAAUUUGACAAACAUACAAUCUCUUUUCAAUUUCUUUUUUAAAAAUAUUAUUGAUCAACUGAUGUUAUGGAAUUUUUCCAAUCAAUUUUAUUUUUUUAUUUAAAUUAUUCAUUGAUAUCAAUUAUAUACUUUUUGAAAUAUGCAUCUUCUUUAUGGUAUUUGAGUUGGGACAUAUGUUAAUUAUCUUUUUAAAUAUUUGAAGGAAAAUAAAUUUUUAUGGCUUUCAUGAUUGGUAAAAAAAACUCUUCAUAAUCAUUUUUGCAUUGUGUGUUUUAUUCCUCUAAUUUGUGAGAGCCUAAAAUCAAUUUGAAUAUGACAAUUUUCAUUAGCGAGAGAGAAGUAUCAACAUUCAUUUGCAAUGAUACCUUUAAUAAUAAUAAUAAUAAAUAAAUAAAGCGAACAGAUUAGAAGCAGGAGAAUGAGAUCCGGAAGAAUACAUUGGAAGAGAAAGAGGGAUAUGGGUUAGUAGGAUAAUCACAUCAAAUGUUAUUUUGACAAUUAAAAACUUUACCGAUUAACAAUAUUAAUUCAUAAUAAAAGAUAAAAAAUUAUUAUUAUUUUUUUAAUCUUCCAUUCAAUCCGAAAAACACCAAAUUAAAUCAUCUUUGCCCAAGGACAAAAACAAUAUAAUCUCAUAAAGAAUAAAAAAAAUCCAGAAUUGUUUGGAUUACAAUUGGUAUUGUAUGAAUUAAUUAAUUUAAAAAAUUUACUUCUGAUGGAUUAUAUUUAUAAGGAGAAAGGAAAAUCCUUACUGCGGUAAGUAUUCAUAUUCUGGAAUUAAGCCAAGAUGUGCCACAAGAAGGCGAACAUGAGUUAGCAGCUCCCCACCUUUUCUAAGGUGCUGGCCAUGCUCAUUCCACGUACCGUAAGAUGCUGCAUAUGCCAACAUAUCAACCCAUACUUCGCUUAUCAUUUCCCAUUUUCUACCGUUAUUCCAAUCUUGGUUUGAUUGCAGCGACUGCAAAUGGUAGCUAAGCCAAAGUCCAGGCCUUUUCGCAGAUGCAAUUUUCUUUGUCCACUCUUGCAUCUCUUCAGGUGUCAUUACUGUAGGAGGUUCCUCCAGCAGACCGGAGAAAUGCUCCAUUUGGCGACAGGUCUCCAUAUAUAUUGUCUCCAAUAAAUUGUCUUCGGGCAUCAGAGAUGGACACACUAGUAGAAGAUACAACAUGUAAUCCGACAAGCGUUUGCUAAUUUUGCAACUCCGAUGGAGUGCAUUAGCAUUUCCAUUGCAAAGUUUGUGGAGAUCAUCACGGUAACAGAGGUCAGUUGCAAUAUGCCAUACAAGAAGGUUAAAGUCAUAAGAUCUUGAAGCUGUGCAUUUAAGUAACCAUGACUUAUUAUACCUGUGCUCAAGCACAUAAUAACCUCUCCCAGCCAUUGUCCUUUGACCCGUUGCAGUCGAACCCAGUUGUUCUUCAGGUUCGGUAUUUGAGGUAAUUUUCUCUUUCAGCUCUCCGAAGAUCAGCUUCUCCAAAUCAUCGUUUACAUCUGCCCGAGUCACAUACCAUUGAUUCUCCAAAGUUUUGUUGAUGGCAAGUAACUUACCAACUGCAGCAGAAGGUGUCGUUAUCUUGUCUUUGAUGCAGUAGCUUAGUAAGUUCAGCUGUCCCAUCGAUCUGCACCACCGCUUGUGAUUGCCCAAUAGUGGAUGAGAAAAGAAGGUAGCAUCAUAAGUACUGCUAUCAGGGUGGCUUCCGUUUCUGCGCUUGGACAGAUAAAACUUCGUCCAAUCGGAGAAGAGAUGUAGGAUGAAUCCGUAUAGGUCCGUAAAAAUAGUACAAAUUAGCAAUAGGUAAGUGAUGAUGAUGUCGGCCAAUGGGUGUGCGGGACUAUGAAUGAAGAUUGAG
rnacentral:lncRNA from 1 species